rnacentral:rRNA from 1 species
UACGGAGGAUCCAAGCGUUAUCCGGAAUCAUUGGGGUUAAAGGGUCCGUAGGCGGUUUAAUAAGUCAGUGGUGAAAGCCCAUCGCUCAACGGUGGAACGGCCAUUGAUACUGUUAAACUUGAAUUAUUAGGAAGUAACUAGAAUAUGUAGUGUAGCGGUGAAAUGCUUAGAGAUUACAUGGAAUACCAAUUGCGAAGGCAGGUUACUACUAAUGGAUUGACGCUGAUGGACGAAAGCGUGGGUAGCGAACAGG